rnacentral:rRNA from 1 species
AUAUGACUUAGUGGCGGACGGGUGAGUAACACGUGAGCAACCUGCCUUUCAGAGGGGGAUAACGGCUGGAAACGGUCGCUAAUACCGCAUGAUGUGUUCGGAUGGCAUCAUCUGAACAUCAAAGAUUUAUCGCUGAAAGAUGGGCUCGCGUCUGAUUAGAUAGUUGGCAGGGCAGCGGCCUACCAAGGCGACGAUCAGUAGCCGGCCUGAGAGGGUGAACGGCCACAUUGGGACUGAGACACGGCCCAAACUCC